rnacentral:rRNA from 1 species
AACGAACGCUGGCGGCAGGCUUAACACAUGCAAGUCGAGCGCCCCGCAAGGGGAGCGGCAGACGGGUGAGUAACGCGUGGGAAUGUACCCUUUGCUACGGAAUAGCUCCGGGAAACUGGAAUUAAUACCGUAUGUGCCCUUCGGGGGAAAGAUUUAUCGGCAAAGGAUCAGCCCGCGUUGGAUUAGCUAGUUGGUGGGGUAAAGGCCUACCAAGGCGACGAUCCAUAGCUGGUCUGAGAGGAUGAUCAGCCACAUUGGGACUGAGACACGGCCCAAACUCCUACGGGAGGCAGCAGUGGGGAAUAUUGGACAAUGGGCGCAAGCCUGAUCCAGCCAUGCCGCGUGAGUGAUGAAGGCCUUAGGGUUGUAAAGCUCUUUCACCGGAGAAGAUAAUGACGGUAUCCGGAGAAGAAGCCCCGGCUAACUUCGUGCCAGCCGCCGCCGUAA